rnacentral:rRNA from 1 species
UGGGGAAUCUUGCGCAAUGCGCGAAAGCGUGACGCAGCAACACCGCGUGAGGGAAGACGGCCUUAGGGUUGUAAACCUCUUUCAGUUGGGACGAAGGUUCGACGGUGAAUAGCCGGUCGGACUGACGGUACCUUCAGAAGAAGCUCCGGCUAACUACGUGCCAGCAGCCGCGGUAAUACGUAGGGAGCGAGCGUUGUCCGGAAUCAUUGGGCGUAAAGAGCGCGUAGGUGGGUAAGUCAGUCUGCUGUGAAAGUCAAAGGCUCAACCUUUGAAAGCCGGUGGAUACUGCUUAUCUAGAGUACGGAAGAGGCGAGUGGAACUCCUGGUGUAGCGGUGGAAUGCGCAGAUAUCAGGAAGAACACCGAUAGCGAAGGCAGCUCGCUGGGACGUUACUGACACUGAGGCGCGAAAGCGUGGGGAGCAAACAGG